rnacentral:rRNA from 1 species
CAAUAGCGUAUAUUAAAGUUGUUGCAGUUAAAAAGCUCGUAGUUGGAUUUCUGAUCGAGACAUCAGGUCGGGUCCGAGAGGAUCAUGUACUUUGAUUUUGUUUUGAUCAUCCUUGGGGAGAGCAUUUCUGGCAUUCAGUUGUCGGGAUUGGGAUCCUCAUCGUUUACUGUGAAAAAAUUAGAGUGUUCAAAGCAGGCCUCGGCCUCUGAAUACAUUAGCAUGGAAUAAUAAGAUAGGACUUUGGUGGUCUAUUUUGUUGGUUUGCACGCCAAAGUAAUGAUUAAUAGGGAUAGUUGGGGGUAUUCGUAUUCAAUUGUCAGAGGUGAAAUUCUUGGAUUUAUGGAAGACGAACUACUGCGAAAGCAUUUACCAAGGAUGUUUUCAGUAA